GUGAGGAAUAUUGCGCAAUGGAGGCAACUCUGACGCAGCCAUGCCGCGUGCAGGAAGAAGGCGCUACGCGUUGUAAACUGCUUUUAACCGGGAAGAAACCCCAGGACGUGUCCUGGGUUGACGGUACCGGAGGAAUAAGCACCGGCUAACUUCGUGCCAGCAGCCGCGGUAAUACGAAGGGUGCAAGCGUUAUCCGGAUUCAUUGGGUUUAAAGGGUGCGUAGGCGGGGCGUUAAGUCAGUGGUGAAAUACUGCAGCGCAACUGUAGACUUGCCAUGGAUACUGGCGCUCUUGAGUGCGCUGGAAGUAGGCGGAAUGUGCCGUGUAGCGGUGAAAUGCUUAGAGAUGGCACAGAACUCCGAUUGCGAAGGCAGCUUACUGGGAUGCAACUGACACUGAUGCACGAAAGCGUGGGUAUCAAACAGGAUUAGAUACCCUAGUAGUCC
rnacentral:rRNA from 1 species